rnacentral:rRNA from 1 species
UACGGAGGGGGCGAGCGUUAUUCGGAAUUAUUGGGCGUAAAGGGCGCGUAGGCGGCCCGAUAAGUCAAAGGUGAAAUCCCUCGGCUCAACUGAGGAACUGCCUUUGAAACUGUCGGGCUUGAGGCCGGGAGGGGGUAGCGGAAUUCCCAGUGUAGCGGUGAAAUGCGUAGAUAUUGGGAGGAACACCAGUGGCGAAGGCGGCUACCUGGACCGGUUCUGACGCUGAUGCGCGAAAGCGUGGGUAGCAAACAGG